rnacentral:rRNA from 1 species
CCUACGGGAGGCUGCAGUGGGGAAUAUUGCACAAUGGGGGAAACCCUGAUGCAGCGACGCCGCGUGGAGGAAGAAGUAUUUCGGUAUGUAAACCCCUUUCAGCAGGGAAGAAAAAUGACGGUACCUGACUAAUAAGCACCGGCUAACUACGUGCCAGCAGCCGCGGUAAUACGUAGGGUGCAAGCGUUAUCCGGAUUUACUGGGUGUAAAGGGAGCGCAGGCGGGGCGUUAAGCCGGUUGUGAAAGCCCGCGGCCUAACCGCGGAACUGCAGUGGAAACUGGCUGUCUGGAGUGCCGGAGGGGUAGGUGGAAUUCCUAGUGUAGCGGUGAAAUGCGUAGAUAUUAGGAGGAACACCAGUGGCGAAGGCGGCCUACUGGACGGUGACUGACGCUGAGGCUCGAAAGCGUGGGGAGCAAACAGGAUUAGAUACCCCUGUAGUC